AGUUGAUAAGUUGAACAAGGAACAUUUCUACAGCAGAUACUUUUUUACAGUGAAGAUCAUUUCAUUAAUCACAAGAUAUUGUAACACUGAGUAAAAUAUGAAAGUUGUGUUGGUAUUGGUGCUCAUAUCCUACAUCAACAUAACCCAGGCAAAAGACUUUUUCGAAAGUUCUAUCAUAGACGCCGUAGAAGAUUUGUUCCUACUUGUAGAUGUUCGUUUGGAUUUGCAGGUCGAUGGUGUCAAAACAAAAAAUUUUAAUCGAAUUGGCCAUUUCAAAGAUCGAGGACGUUGUAAAGGAUGGGGGUGCAAGUUUAACUUAAUGAUAAAUGUUCCCUUCAUUACGUAUUCAACAAAUUAUCUUAAUUCGUUCAUUCUGGUAAUGUAUGUCAUAGUAUUUAAAUAUAGAUUAUGAUGAUAAGUUAAUACUGCUGUGCAGCAAAUUUGGACAUUAGGACAAUUCUUGUGUCAUUUGUAACUAUAUAAUUUUAUGCUAUAAGAAAUGUAAUUGUUUGAAA